rnacentral:rRNA from 1 species
GACGAACGCUGGCGGCGUGCUUAACACAUGCAAGUCGAACGGAAAGGCCCUGCUUGCAGGGUACUCGAGUGGCGAACGGGUGAGUAACACGUGGGUGAUCUGCCCUGCACUUCGGGAUAAGCCUGGGAAACUGGGUCUAAUACCGGAUAGGAGCCAUUUUUAUUGUGAUGGUUGGAAAGUUUUUUCGGUGUAGGAUGAGCUCGCGGCCUAUCAGCUUGUUGGUGGGGUAAUGGCCUACCAAGGCGGCGACGGGUAGCCGGCCUGAGAGGGUGGACGGCCACAUUGGGACUGAGAUACGGCCCAGACUCCUACGGGAGGCAGCAGUGGGGAAUAUUGCACAAUGGGCGCAAGCCUGAUGCAGCGACGCCGCGUGGGGGAUGACGGCCUUCGGGUUGUAAACUCCUUUCGCUAGGGACGAAGCUUUUUGUGACGGUACCUAGAGAAGAAGCACCGGCUAACUACGUG